CCCCCCAGAUGGAACGACCCCACGACCUGCGAACAGUCCCCUCACUCCAGGCACACACCCGAGAGAAACGAAGACACCUGCCCACACAAGUUCACGGGGCCAGAACGAGCAGGACAGGCCGAGUCGCAGAGACAGUACUGGCGCCUGGAGGAGGGGACGGGGAGUGACGGCUGACGGGGACGAGCACCCACUCAGGAGUCGGGGCCUGUGCAUGUCGGCCCUGCUGCUGGAACGCCCACCCCAGGUGGUUCAAAGGUCACCUCUCCGCUCCAAGCCUCCGCCCUGUCAUGGAGG